rnacentral:rRNA from 1 species
CAAGUCGAACGAUUAAACUUUCCUUCGGGAAAGAUAUAAAGUGGCGCACGGGUGAGUAACACGUAAGUAAUCUACCUUUGAGUGGGGAAUAACAUCGGGAAACCGAUGCUAAUACCGCAUAAUGCAGCGGCAUCGCAAGAUGACAGUUGUUAAAGAUUUAUCGCUUAAAGAGGAGCUUGCGGCAGAUUAGCUAGUUGGUAAGGUAAUGGCUUACCAAGGCUACGAUCUGUAACCGGUCUAAGAGGACGGUCGGUCACACUGACACUGAAUAACGGGUCAGACUCCUACGGGAGGCAGCAGUCGGGAAUUUUGGGCAAUGGGCGAAAGCCUGACCCAGCAACGCCGCGUGAAGGAUGAAGUAUUUCGGUAUGUAAACUUCGAAAGAAUGGGAAGAAUAAAUGACGGUACCAUUUAUAAGGUCCGGCUAACUACGUGCCAGCAGCCGCGGUAAUACGUAGGGACCAAGCGUUGUUCGGAUUUACUGGGCGUAAAGGGCGCGUAGGCGGCAACUCAAGUCAGCUGUGAAAUCUCCGGGCUUAACUCGGAACGGUCAGCUGAUACUGUUUUGCUAGAGUGCAGAAGGGGCAAUCGGAAUUCUUGGUGUAGCGGUGAAAUGCGUAGAUAUCAAGAGGAACACCUGAGGUGAAGACGGGUUGCUGGGCUGACACUGACGCUGAUGCGCGAAAGCCAGGGGAGCAAACGGGAUUAGAUACCCCGGUAGUCCUGGCCCUAAACGAUGAAUACUUGGUGUCUGGAGUUUUUAAUGCUCUGGGUGCCGUCGCUAACGUUUUAAGUAUUCCGCCUGGGGAGUACGCUCGCAAGAGUGAAACUCAAAGGAAUUGACGGGGACCCGCACAAGCGGUGGAGCAUGUGGUUUAAUUCGACGCAACGCGAAGAACCUUACCUGGACUAGAAUGUGAGGGAAUUCUGGGGUAAUGCCAGAAGUUCCGGGAAACCGGACCC